GGCCCAUCCUUUUCCCUCUGCUGCUCUCUCCAGACACAUUUUCUUUCCCCCAAAAGAAAUCUCCUGCUUGACUUCAAAGGCGGCUCUGCAUCCAGAAGAGAUAAUACAGAACCCGGCUUCCUGACAUCACAGAAGCCCUCUGUGCCAGGACAACCAAUUAGGCAUCGAUGCAUUGAGGAGCCUGCAGUUCUAGGACUCAUUGUUUCCAUGUGUCUUCCACGAGCAGGGGCGGUUGCCUUCCAGAGCCACGGAGGCUCCAUGUGUGUCAGACUCUCUGACAGAAUGAUUUGCAGACAUCUCUUUAGGGGCUGGAGGAGGCCCUAGGGAAUGACCAUGAUUGUCAAGAGGAAGGAUGUUGUGUCCGCGCAUUAUCUCUGCAACUAUUUUCUAUCAGCACCCGAGAUGGAUUUCUAGAAACUCAGCUCAUCAACUCCCCCUCAGAGGCACCAAUAGGAUCUGGGAAAAUAAACACCUAAGGUUGUAAAUUGCA
rnacentral:lncRNA from 1 species